rnacentral:rRNA from 1 species
AUUGAACGCUGGCGGCAGGCCUAACACAUGCAAGUCGAACGAGUGGCGGACGGGUGAGUAAUGUCUGGGAAACUGCCCGAAGGAGGGGGAUAACUACUGGAAACGGUAGCUAAUACCGCAUACCAUCGGAUGUGCCCAGAUGGGAUUAGCUUGUAGGUGAGGUAACGGCUCACCUAGGCGACGAUCCCUAGCUGGUCUGAGAGGAUGACCAGGCACAAGGGAACUGAGCCACGGUCGAGACUCCUACGGGAGGCAGAAGUGGGGAAGAGUGGACAAGGGUGGCAAGCGUAAUAUAGCCAUGCCGCUGGUAUGAAGAAGGCCUUCGGGUUGUAAAGUACUUUCAGCGGGGAGGCGUGGCCCGCAGAAGAAGCACCGGCUAACUCCGUGCCAGCAGCCGCGGUAAUAC